UACGAAGGGUGCAAGCGUUGCUCGGAAUUAUUGGGCGUAAAGGGUAGGUAGGUGGUUACGUAUGUCUGAGGUGAAAGCCCCGCGCUUAACGUGGGAAGUGCCUUGGAAACGGCGUAACUAGAGUAUUGGAGAGGUUUGUAGAAUUCCCGGUGUAGCGGUGAAAUGCGUAGAGAUCGGGAGGAAUAUCAGAGGCGAAGGCGACAAACUGGACAAUUACUGACACUAAACUACGAAAGCGUGGGGAGCAAACAGG
rnacentral:rRNA from 1 species